rnacentral:rRNA from 1 species
GAUCCUGGCUCAGAGCGAACGUUAGCGGCGGGCCUAACACAUGCAAGUCGAACGGGCAGUAGCAAUACUGUCAGUGGCGCACGGGUGAGUAACGCGUAGGUAAUCUACCCUUUGGCGGGGGAUAACGUUCCGAAAGGGACGCUAAUACCGCAUAAGACCACGACUCUUUCGGGGGGUUGAGGGAAAAGGUGGCCUCUUCUUGAAAGCCAUCACCGGAGGAUGAGCCUGCGUCCCAUCAGCUAGUUGGUAGGGUAAUGGCCUACCAAGGCGAAGACGGGUAGCUGGUCUGAGAGGAUGAUCAGCCACACUGGCACUGGAACACGGGCCAGACUCCUACGGGAGGCAGCAGUGGGGAAUAUUGGGCAAUGGGCGCAAGCCUGACCCAGCCACGCCGCGUGAGCGAUGAAGGCCUUCGGGUUGUAAAGCUCUGUGGGGAGGGGCGAAAGGCAGAAGUGCUAAUAGUACUCUGUUUGACGGUACCUCCUUAGCAAGCACCGGCUAACUCUGUGCCAGCAGCCGCGGUAA